ensembl:lncRNA
CUUCCUUCUCUCUCUACUGCAAAGCCUGUUGAGUAGGUGUUGGCGCCUUGGGUGGGGAGUGAGGGGCUCGCUGGUUCUCAGGGGCUCUCUUCCCCCCGGCUUGCGAAGGGGAGCCCCCUGUGGCUGCACCUUGACCCAAGAUGGCGUCCUGCACCCAGCUGGGCAGCUCCGGCCCGCGUCAGGCAGGGAGGAAGGGCCCGGAGCCCCGAAGCUACACAACUCGCCCCCUCCCAAACCAGCAGGGAUAGGAGGCUGCGGGAGAGGAGCCCGCCGCCCUGUGACCCAGCUUGCCCCUCGCUGCCGUGCCCAGAGACUGCCAUCAGCAUCCCUGGGGGACUGUUCCGUCUUCAUGUUUCAGCCGGGGCUGCCAGCGGCUGAACCAGGCCUCCUGGGCUGGCGGGCUGUGAAGGGAUCCUGGGAUCAGGUGCUGCUCCGCUGUGCCUGCUCCCUCCCGGCAGAUGUGACAGCUGCAGCCGAGGGAGCUUUUCUCCUUGGGCGAUGCGGAGUGCUAGGACUGGCCUGUGGGAUUUGAGGAGCCCAGCUGUCAGGCGGACCCUCGUUGGGUCGUCCCCCGUGCUGGCAGGGGCCGGUCUCUUGGUUGGUUUCCUGAGCUGCCUGGGUUAGGAGGCUUGGGUUUUUAGGAGUUCUUGCUAGGUUUCUGGGACAAGGUGGUCCCCCUUUGCCUCCAGGUCCCACUGAGGCCCUGGUUGGGCUGUUUGACGGGCAACUCUGUGAAAAGUGUGAGUCUUGUGUGCAUGUGUGUGCAUGUGUGCACAUGUGCCGCACUCAGGCAGGGGCCCAGGCAAACCUGUGCAGCGGGUCUGGCACCUGCCCGCCUCCCUUCCCCAGGCCCCACUCCUCUGGGCCCUGGCUUCCUCUCCAGCCUCUUGUCCAGGUCCUUGGGCCUGUCUUCAGCUCCUCAUCAAAUGCACAGUUCCUGGCCCAGAUGGACGGAGGCUCUCCUUGUCCUCCUUCCCAGGCUCAUGGACCCGCAAUAGGAAACCAGCUUUCAAAAGUGAAUUCCUUCUCGAAUUCAAGGAGUGUCAGUUUCACUGUGCAAGGGCUCCUCCCCCCUCCCCUCACCCCCCAAGCACUGGAGAAGCAGAGGAGAGGACAACCAGGGCCAUGGUCAGGGUGUCUGUGGACAAGAUUCUUCUGUAGGUGGGGGUUGGACUGCAGCUUGAAGGCCCAUUCCAGCUUUUAAAUUCUAUGGCUCUGAUUCCAUUGGUGUAGUUUCAGACCCAGGAAGCGGGGUGGGGUGGUCUUAUUUCCACCACACAGGGAUAAUCAGGAAGGACUUCUCAGGAGAGGAGGUCUGAGUGAGAGCGGGGCCUCCUGAGGGGUGGGCCUUUGAAGGGAGCUGGUGAUGUGAAGGGUGGGGGGCCUUCAGGAAACAGGUCGGUCACAUCUGGCUCCACAAGGAGUGUAAAAGUUUAGCCUCUGGUUAAGCCCUCACAUGUGUGUGUCCUUUUGUAGGUUUACAUGGGCAUUUGUGUGUGUGUGCACAAUUUCUGAGAUUUCCUCUCUGAGUCCAGUUUGCAGUGAGCGUCUGAGUUCGUUGUGGAUCUUCUUCAGGCUGAAACUCCAAACCUUCUCAUCCUUUCUUGGUUUCCCUGGGGACCAGCCCCCAUCCCAGAGUCACCUCAUUAGAACAAGAGAUGCUCCUAGUUUCAUGCCAGUGGUCCUCUGAAAAAGUCUGCAAGGAAGACAGGAGAAGCUAUAAAAUCCUGGCCUGGGAUGACCUGGCUGGGAAGAAGCAGGGCCAGAGCUGCCCUCUGGGGAGCUUAGACUGCCUCCUGCUCCAGCUCUCCUGGUCUCCUACACUGCGUGUUGGUCUCGCCUCUUGGUUCAUAGUCUCCACGGGACAGGACUCUUGCCCUGGCCACCUCUGGGUCCCCUUGGUCAUUUUGUGGGGCUUCUAAGGUGUCUCUCGGAUAGUGAGGAAACUUGCUGCACAUCUGUGUUUACGUCCCCGUCCUCUCCCUAGCUGCACGAUUGGUGGCCAGGCUCUCUUCAUCUUGCUUCUGCUCCGCCUUCCCCAAACAGUCACUGCCUACUUAGGUUCCUUAGGCUCAAGCCCCCCUGACAAACAGAUUCUUUUUCAGCAUGAGCCAGGACUCCAUCAAGGCUCCUGUUUUUUUUGGGAGCCAGAUAGAAAGGGGACUCUGAGAGCAGUGUUGCCAGCUCUCUAAUGAGUGAGUUAAAAAUAGACCACCCUCUCCCCAUCCUCUGCCUGAAAUGUUACCAUUAGAAUCCAAGCCCUAGAAUUUAGGGUUGAAAGACAACCUGAAGCUCUGGGAGCACUUGGGCUGGGUUGGGGGCUGUUUGGGUGUGGACCCAGGCCCGGUUUCUUCCAGGGUUGGCAGCGCUACCCAGAGCCCAAGGCCAGAAGGGCCAAAUGCCUGCCCAUCACAUGCUCCCCUCCCUUAGCACUUCCUGCCACCUUCUGCUCUCUUGAUCCCGGGGUCCCUGUCUUGGUGCCCGGGUCCCCUUGCCCGGACCCAUGCCCCACUUUCCAAGCCUUGCGCUUGGAAACAGGCAACAGUCAGGACCAAGGAAUGGCCUGUAGGAAUUGUUUCCACUUCCCUUUUGGUGUUUAGUGGAGAGUAGUGUGCUUGGAAGCUGGGGAUCUCUGUGGGCCUGUGUGCUUUGCUGCUGCUGAGCAGGGCUUUAAUAGUAAACCAAAGGUGUCAGAUUCCUUUCCACUCAAAUCUUAAAGGCUCGUUUUCAGGCAUUUCUCUCUUUGAUUCUUUUUCCUUAAAAAACAAACAACCUACCAGAUCUAAGAUCCAUGCAGUGUCAGAUUUGCGUGUGUGUCCCUUGGCUAAGUGUGUGGGCAAGACAGGGUGUGGUGCACGUGUGUCUCUGCAUAUUUCUGUGUACGCGGUGUGCAGCUGUGUGGGGACAGAGACUUGCUUCGACAUGAGCCUGUCUGAGGCAGCCCAAGUGAGGGCCUUGGAGUCGGAGGGAGCUGCAUUCAGCUUCUAGCUGUGUGAUCUGGGACAAGCACAAUUUCUUCGACCCUCCGUUUCCUCACCUGUGACAUGGAAGUGAGACCAGGCUCUAUGCACAGGUUGUUGGAAGAAUAAAACGAGAUAAUGCCCAUCGCCCUUGGCAGAGUGCAGGCGCUCAGCAUGAGUAGCGUUAUCAUCAGGUAGUUUGCGUGGCUUGGUGCUGCAGUAAGUGCUCUGGGAAGUCUCGUCCACCUUCCUGCCUCUGUGUGCAAAAUCUUGGACAGAUGAGCAAAGUGCUGAUUCUGAUUGAAAUGUCUUCAGAGGAGGGAGGCUUCUCAGCGCCAUUUAGCAAUCCUUCCAGAGUUUAGCAGGUCACAGUCAACAGGCUGUCUGUGUGUCCACCUACAAUCCCUCACGCCAGCUUCAGCUCUUUAUUCGGGUUCUGUCCCAAGUGCAGCCUGUUUACUUCCAGGUACCAGAGACUUUCUGAGCAUUUCCUGCGGGCCAGACCCUGUGCCGGGCUUUGAGAGGGUACAUGGUGAGUUUAGGGUGUGCCCAGGUAAUUAAUGCCAUAGACCAAGGUCGAGGGAGAGGGAGACACAAAAUGCUCGAAGGACAGUGAGGUGACAACCAACUGGAGAGAUCAGGGAAGACUUCUUGGAGGAGGUGGCACCUGUGAUGAGCCUGAGAGCACAGAGAUGGGGCAUCCUGACCGAGGAGAGGAAGCCAGGCUGCAUGGGAUAAGGUGGCUGGAGUGUGGUAGAGACCUUGGGGCAGUGAGUGGGGCCUCCGUGUGCUGGAAGCCAGCCUGAGGCCCCAUGCUGAUUUGAGGGGAGUGGGCCCCCAUGCCCUGUAGCUCCGGUGUGGCCUGUAGGAACUCACUUCGAACUUUCCUGCUUGUGGUGGCUCUGGCGGGUGGUGGGGGAGAAGAGCUGGUGGUGGGGGAGAAGAGAGGGAGGGAAAAGAAAGGGAGGGAGGGGAAGGGGCCAGCUGAGCUCCUUUGGUGUAGGAUCUUGAUGAUUCCUUUAUGUUCUGUAGACUGAAGCUUAAGAGCUCAGACUCAGGGAAACAGAGCAGGGUUUAAAUUACAGGAACCCCGGGGUGUCGCAGCAAUUAAGGGGAACACCAGCGGGGCUGUCUCUGUCAGUGAUGGCAACGUGAUGUGAGUGAUGUGAAUGGGCGGCAGGAGGGUCCCUGACCUGGCCUCCCAGGGGCAUCCCCUGUCCCAGGCUGAGGCAUUGCAGCACCCACAUCAUUCUUGUAAGGGGCCGAGAGCACAGGAAAGGGGAAGGGGGUACCGCAGACCCUGCCUGCCCUGCCCUCUCGCCUCCCUCCUCCACAUGCAGCAGAACUGAGCCCCCCACCUGGAGGAGAGAUGCCCCCAGGUGUGACUGGCAGCCACAGCAAGGACAGCCAGUGGACAGGGCCCGCCAGGCCACAUCUCCCUUGCUGAUCACAUCGUAUCCCUGCUUGUCUGGAGGACAGAGACAGGGGGAGGAGGUGUGGGCGCCCGGGGCUUUCCUAGCCGAAUCCCAGCAGGGAAUGCAAAUUUUUUUUUUUUCCAACUGCAGCUCUUCAUUGCCCAUUCCCAUCCUGCUCUGGUCCCCCCUGACCUCCAGGAUUUCCCAGCCUUAUUUACAUCUAUAAGCAGAUUCCUAUUUUCUCUUUCCUGAGGUCAUGGCCCUGCUCGCUGUCAUCCCUAUUGAUCUUCCCUCUCUGUUUCUGUUUCAAAUGUCAAGGUCAUCUUUAAUUCUGAGCCAGUUGUUGGAUGCCCCUUCUGGGUGCACAGAGGGGAUGGAGGACCAUCUCUCACAGCUCGUAACGGGACAGCUAGAACUUGGGUGUCCUGGCCGCUAAUCAGGUGCUCUUCCUGCUGUGCUGCUAGGUAGAUGGCUCCUGGGGUCAGUGCAGAAGGUGUUCUAGACCUAAUAGAUCAGCUCGAUCCUGGUGUGCCUGGUGCUUCUUACUUCAGAAGGUGAAAAGAUGCUCAGAAGGACGUUAUGCGGUCAGAUCUGCAGUUGACUGAGCUGGGAGCUGGAUGUGGGCUCUGUCAUGGUGAAUGCCCAGGAACACCUGAGCUGGGAGGCUGGGAGCUUGCCUUCCCUCAGAGUUUCCCCAGAGGACUCAGGGAGGGGCAGGCGAGGGUGCUUGGACCCAUGCCAGGCAACUGAGAUCCUCCAGCAAAGCAGAACCUGUUGGCAAAGGGCUUCUUGACAGCACGUUCCUGUGUGAUUUAUUUUGUAGACUCUGAAAGGGUACCUAAGUUAAUGGAUAAAAGGGAAUCUAGUCAGAUUCUCCCAAAGCCUUUGAAAUGGGAUACUCAGUGUGUCUAUUCUGACAUGUUGGAUGUCCAUGAUAUGGUGUGAGGUCACCCCCACAAGCAGCGUGCAGAGUCUGAUCUCAUUUUUGUCAAGUUCCUUUAAAAUGUAUACCAGUAUGCACACGUAUGCUAGUGAUGCUUAGAAAAAAAAUUGUUCUAGAAGGAUCAUCCAGCAAGCGUGUCAGCAUUUUGGUUAUACACUUUAUAUACUUUUGUAACCUUUGCGACAGUGUAAAGGCACAUGCAUUCCUUUCUUAAUGACCACAGCAAAAAUAAAACCACAGUUUUGAAGCUUCUGGAUAAGAACUUGAAAAAAAUUUGAGUCACCCUUAGGCUGGAAGGGUGGGCCCUUUUAUAAUGGAUGUGAAACUGGCUUGGAGAGUGACAGCAAAGGGUGGAGCCACUCAGGUACUUGUAUUUUCUGGAAAGGUUGCAGGGAGAUUUAUUGCAGACCCUGAGGUCUCCAAGCGAAGGCAUGGACUGGUUGGGGUUGGGUGAGAGCGGAAAAGAGGCAGCUGGCAGCACCCCAGCUCACGCCGGGGCUGCAGACCGAGUUCGCAUUAGAGGGCAGGGACGGGAAGCUCUCAGAUCUGAGCAGGAUGACAAACUGAUCAUCGAGGAUCUUCAGUCUGGUUGCUCUUGUGACCCAAAUGGUCCUGGUGUGGACCUCAGGCGACCCAGCCCUGGCGUAGCCUGGGGAGCCACACCAGGGCAGCCACAUGCAGGGAGGACAAGAUGGCGCUUCAGGAGGCCCUGCCAGGGGCGGAGGGGAGGCCUGGGAAACUCGUCUGGCAUGUGGGCUCAAGCUGUGCCCGACUCUGAUCCGGAGGCCCAGGAGCAGGUGGCAGUGACCCAGGUGACAGGGUGGAGAGGUGAGGAGGGGCGGAUACAAAUUCCUCUGCUGGUUGCUUGGCAACAGUGCCCACCUCCCCCUUCCACAAUCGGGUCUCCCAGCCCCGGGCCAUGGGUGCCAACUUGGAGCUUGCUUUGCCCCCUUUUUGAAGACUGGAAAAAGGGUAUGUGGACUUCUCCAGCCCCGCCCCACCCCGCCUCUGGAGUGAGGCUGGAAGAUAAAUAAAAGGACCAUUAGCAUCAGCAUGGGAGCAAACCUGUCCCUCUGCAGACCGCCCCUUGUCCCAGGUUGCCAGGAGACAGAUGUGCAGGGCACAGAAGUGACCAGAGGGCGGGCAGACCUUGAUUUGCAUCUCAGCCCUGCUACUCCUACGGUAACUGAGAGACCUAAAGGUCUCUGAGCUGGGUGCUUCAUCUGUGAAUCAAGGAUAAGAGGAGCAUCUGCCUCUUACUGGUAUUGCUCGAAUAUAAUGAAAUAUUGUGUGAUGACAUCAGCACUGUGCCUGGCGCAUAGUAGGUACUCAGGUGGUGUGCAUUCCUUUUCUCUUAGUUGGGUCAUGACAGGGGUGCAUCUGGGGACUGGGUGAGAUGACCCCUUCAAAGGCUCCCUUGUCUUCCAAGACCCCGCACGUGUUGUCUGUCGUCCUCAUCACCUCUGAGGGGUUGCAGGGCCUUUGUCUCCUCCUCUGUAAAGCCUGGAUUUGGCUGCUUGAUCUUCAGCCCUGGGCAUCUCAUCUCUGGGCCUUUAAUUUUGAUGUACUUCGAUCAGUUUCUUGAGUCUCCGUGCCCACCAGGAACCAAGCAGUUUCCUCAAGCCCUGGGCCCUCUCCCUUCCUGCCCUCUGCUCUCUUUGGGUCCAGAGCAGGCACUGGCCUCUGCUCUGGUUGCUGGGCUCGCUGGCAGGGCCAGCUCUGCCCCCUGGCCCACAGGCAUGGGAGGGUCUAGACCUCAGCCGGGCUUGGCAGCUGGCGCACAGCACUGCUUCCUAAUGGUUUUAUUACCAGCAACAAUGUGGUGCUUGUUGCCAUCCUCUCCCAGGCCUGUGGUUCCCAGCCCAACUAGCGGUGGCCUGAGGGCCUGCCUGGUACUGGCAGCUCAGCUGGGAAGCCCAGUGGGGCAGGGCAGUCGCCUCUGCGUUUUCUUUGGUCAACACCUUCUAUGUAGCCUGAACUCUGAGAUGGCAUGGUGAGAGACUGGGGCCCCGACUCGACAGGCCUGGCAGCUCUUAAGUUUUCUCUCCGGAGGCUCCUUGUUUCAGAUCCACAAAUAACAUUUAUUUAUUCAUUCACUAAAGACCUACUAUGUGUCAGACACUGGCUACAAAAUUAUAAAGAGGACUGAGCCGGUCCUCAGGGUGUCUGCAGCGGAGGCGAGAGUCUGGCAAGGUGACCAUUACAUCAUAGGUGGGUGGAGAGAGCUCUGCGGCAUGUGCCCAGGGCAUUCCAUGAGCUCAGAGAAGGGACAUCUCAGGCAAGUGGGGAGGGAAGAUCCAAGAAGGGUUUCUUAAGGAGGUGAGGCUGGAGCUGAAUCUUGAAGGGUGGGCAGCAGUUAGCCGAGUGGUCCAGGGCAUGUUCUCCCUUGGUGCAGCAAGAGUGAAGGGUGAUGGGAGCCAUGGGAUGUGAGGCUAGGAGGGCUGAGCAGGGCUGGACAGAAGGCUGGGAUGUUACCCAUCAAUAAGCAUUGGGCUUGGAGUACCGUGCCCGUAUUUGUGUAUCAGAAAGAUGGUCCAGGGGCAUCAGGGAGAAGAAAUUGGGCAGCUGAGGCUGGGGACAGAUUGUCCAGGCAGAAGGCUGGGGGAGGAGGGCUGUUCUGUG